rnacentral:rRNA from 2 species
GCUCCCGUUGCUGACGCCAGCAAUAGUUGGGCAUCCCUUCGUGGGGUGUUAUGCCAGCUAGUCGAGUACCCAACGCAAUGAUGGGGGGGUACCGGCAAGACAACCUGGGUCGGGGAAGGCUAAGGCCAGCAAUGGCUAUGCUAAUCCCGAGUGCAGUCCUAGUCGAGUGAUCUUCUAGUACGCAUGUAGAGCGCGCAAAGGUGUCGGCCAACUCAUUCAGUUGGCUUAAGGUACGUGCCAUUCCCGCCCGAAAGGGUGGCUGACAGCAGGAGCGCCCAUCACGCAAGGGCUGUCAGAUCUUUGUUUAAAGAUGUCGAUGAAAAGGCCAGCAGCCGCGGUAAUUCCAGCUCCAAUAGCGUAUAUUAAAGUUGUUGCAGUUAAAAAGCUCGUAGUUGAACCUUGGGCCUGGCUGGCCGGUCCGCCUCACCGCGUGUACUGGUCCGGCCGGGCCUUUCCUUCUGGAGAACCGCAUGCCCUUCACUGGGUGUGUCGGGGAACCAGGACUUUUACUUUGAGAAAAUUAGAGUGUUCAAAGCAGGCCUUUGCUCGAAUACGUUAGCAUGGAAUAAUAGAAUAGGACGUGCGGUCCUAUUUUGUUGGUUUCUAGAACCGCCGUAAUGAUUAAUAGGGAUAGUCGGGGGCGUCAGUAUUCAAUUGUCAGAGGUGAAAUUCUUGGAUCUAUUGAAGACUAACUACUGCGAAAGCAUUCGCCAAGGAUGUUUUCAUUAAUCAGUGAACGAAAGUUAGGGGAUCGAAGACGAUCAGAUACCGUCGUAGUCUUAACCGUAAACUAUGCCGACUAGGGAUCGGGCGAUGUUUCUAUAAUGACUCGCUCGGCACCUUACGAGAAAUCAUAAG